rnacentral:misc_RNA from 1 species
GAUCACAUCUCAGGAAAUCGACCCAACAACCUGUAACAUCUCUGAGACAACAAACACAACAACCGGUGAGUUCUCUUUCGUUUUCAAACAUAGAUGAACAGCCUGCUACAUUCUUGAAUUUGAACCAACCACAGCCUGUAACUUCUGAGAGGAGCUUUAAUAGAGAAAAUCCACCAUUUGGUAUUGGUUUGAGCUCGACGAGAGGGCGAGAACCGGAGGUAACUGUUGAGCAGCGUGGGAAUCAACAGCCCAUAGAAAGAAAUGAGAAUGUAGUGAUGGGUAGCAAUGAAAAUAGACCUGCUAGUACUAGUAAUAAUGCGAGUAAUGUGAAGGAGAAAGAGAGUAUUAGGGCAGAUGCAUCAGCUAAGAAGAUACCUAGUUUCUGGACAGCAUGUCCUUAUUGUUACGUUAUGCACGAGUACCCUUUGGAUUAUGUUGAUUGUACACUAAAGUGUCAAAAUUGUAAGAGGGCUUUUCAAGCUGUUAAGGUUGCUGCUCCGCCUAUUAUUGAUGGAAAAGAAGCUUAUUUCUGUUGUUGGG